CGCAUCUGUGCAUGCAGCAUAUCAAUAAGCGGAGGAAAAGAAACUAACAAGGAUUCCCCUAGUAACGGCGAGUGAAGCGGGAAGAGCUCAAAUUUGAAAUCUUAAAGGGUUUCCCUUUACGAAUUGUAGUUUAAAGAAGUGUUUUCUGUUGAGGUUUUGGUAAAAGUUCUUUGGAAUAGGACAUCAUAGAGGGUGAGAAUCCCGUAUUUGACCUUUACUUUCAACUUUGUGAUACACUUUCAAAGAGUCGGAUUGUUUGGGAAUGCAGUCCAAAAUGGGUGGUAAAUUUCAUCUAAAGCUAAAUAUUGGCGAGAGACCGAUAGCGAACAAGUACCGUGAGGGAAAGAUGAAAAGAACUUUGAAAAGAGAGUUAAACAGUACGUGAAAUUGUCAAAAGGGAAGCGUUUGACACCAGUGUUGUUUUUCUGAAAAUCAAUUAAAGAACUGUUUAUGCUAAGCUGUUUAGACUUUAUCAGCUAUACUGUUUAGUUUUGAGCUUUUCUUUAAUGCACUUUUCAGUUAACAAGUCAACAUCAAUUUCUUUUGCUGUAAAAAAGCUUGAGGAAGGUGGCUUGAGAUUCGUCUUAAGUGUUUAUAGCCUCUUGCCUAUGCAGUCGGAGAGAUUGAGGUCUGCAGCGUAGAUCCUUCGGGGCUAAAUGCAUUUGUGCUAAGUUAUAGCAUUUCAUAGACAACUUGUUGACUAUGAUUUGUCUUGUAGCUCACUCGCUUAUGUUAUUUUACCUACGCUUAGGAUGUUGACAGCAGUAUAGACUGU
rnacentral:rRNA from 1 species